UACGAAGGGGGCUAGCGUUGCUCGGAAUCACUGGGCGUAAAGCGCACGUAGGCGGCUUUCUAAGUCAGGGGUGAAAUCCUGGAGCUCAACUCCAGAACUGCCUUUGAUACUGGAGAGCUCGAGUCCGGGAGAGGUGAGUGGAACCCCGAGUGUAGAGGUGAAAUUCGUAGAUAUUCGGAAGAACACCAGUGGCGAAGGCGGCUCACUGGCCCGGUACUGACGCUGAUGUGCGAAAGCGUGGGGAGCAAACAGG
rnacentral:rRNA from 1 species